ACAGCUUAGGCCAGAGUGGUGGCAGUGAGUUAUUGAGAAAAGAUAUAUUUCGAAGGUAGAGUCAGCAGGAUUUCUUGAUGGACUGGAUAUGGGAGGGGAGAGAAGAGUUAAGGAUGACACAUGAAUGAUUGAGGUUGGAAGUGCCUGAGUUUAGAGUUUGGGAGUAGUUUGGCCCUCAUUGUCUUAUGCCCCAGCUUUAGGGGGUGGCCAGGGGCAGAACCAGAAUAAUGAGUGGACUAGUCAUAUCUUGUAAAUGUUUGUGAAGCCAUAAAUUUCUUCUUUAAGUUCAAGAGGAGCUAGUCAACAAAGGGAAAGUUUGGACUUAUCAGAAGUGUCUGAAGUAGAGUCUAAUUAUGGUGCCACUGAAGAGGAUUUAAUAACAUCUGCAUCAAAAACAGAAGAGACCUUGUCAAAAAAGAGAGAGUACCAGUCUUCCUCCUGUGUCUCCUCCACAUCCUCUUCCUAUUCUUCCUCUUCUGAAUCCAGAUUUUCUGAAUCUAUUGGUCGUUUGGACUGGGAGACUCUUGUGCACGAAAAUCUGCCCGGGCUAAUGGAAAUGGAUCAGGAUGACCGUGUUUGGCCCAGAGACUCACUCU
rnacentral:lncRNA from 1 species